CAAGAUAUAAUUUAAGUAGAAUAUUAGUUUUGGGGACUAGUUGUGAGGGUUAGAUUCUCUCUGUCUUGA
rnacentral:tRNA from 3 species